rnacentral:tRNA from 1 species
GCCGGCGUAGCUCAGCCUGGUAGAGCGUUCGCCUCGUAAGCGAAAGGCCGAGGGAUCGAUGCUUGCCUCAAGCGAGAAGCCCUCCGCCGGCU